rnacentral:rRNA from 1 species
AUGCAAACACUUGGCUUUGUUCCUUCAAAGUCUGACACUUCGUUAUUUAUCUAUAACAAGUCAAGAAUAUCCAUAUUUGUUCUCAUUUAUGUUGAUGAUAUAAUUGUGACAAGCUCAUCUGAUGAAGCAAUAACAGCACUGUUGAAGGAUUUAAGUGCAGAAUUUGCUCUCAAGGAUCUAGGAGAUCUACACUAUUUUCUUGGUAUUGAGGUUAAGCAGCACAAGGAUGGUCUUCAUCUCUCUCAAGAAAAGUAUGCAACAGACUUAGUGAAAAAGGCUGGUUUGCAAAGUUGUAAGCCUGCACCCACUCCUUUAUCAAGCACAGAAAAAUUAUCUCUUGCUGAAGGGGAACUCCUGGACUUAGAAAACAGUACAAAGUAUAGAAGCUUAGUAGGUGCCCUUCAAUACUUGACAUUGACACGACCAAAUAUCUCAUUUGCUGUUAACAAAGUAUGUCAAUUUCUUCAUGCACCUACUACAGUUCACUUGACUGCUGCAAAACGCAUAGUGAGAUAUGUGAAAAAUACAUUGAGCAUUGGCCUGAACUUUAGCAAGUCAUCUUCCACUCUUAUCAAUGCUUUCUCUGGCUCAGACUGGGCAGGAUGUUUAGAUCAUAGACGCUCAACUGGUGGUUUUGAAGUGUUCUUUGGACCUAAUUUGAUAUCUUGGAAUGCAAGGAAGCAAGCCCCUGUUUCUAGGUCUAACACAGAAGCAGAAUACAAAGCAUUGCCAAAUGCAACUGCAGAGAUCAUAUGGGUGCAGUCAAUUUUUGAAGGAACUAGGUAUGAAAAGCACUAA